rnacentral:rRNA from 1 species
GGAUUAGAUACCCUGGUAGUCCACGCCGUAAACUAUGCAUACAAGCUGUAGUGGAAUUUUAUUCUGCUGUGGCGAAGCUAACGCAAUUAGUAUGCCGCCUGGGGAGUACGGUCGCAAGACUAAAACUCAAAGGAAUUGACGGGGGCCCGCACAAGCGGUGGAUUAUGUGGUUUAAUUCGAAGCAACGCGCAGAACCUUACCUAGGUUUGACAUCCCACGACAAACGUAGAAAUACGUCUUUGUAGCAAUACACGUGGGGACAGGUGCUGCAUGGCUGUCGUCAGCUCGUGCUG